UACGUAGGGUGCGAGCGUUGUCCGGAAUUAUUGGGCGUAAAGGGCUCGUAGGCGGUUUGUCGCGUCGGGAGUGAAAACCAGGUGCUUAACACCUGGCUUGCUUUCGAUACGGGCAGACUAGAGGUAUUCAGGGGAGAACGGAAUUCCUGGUGUAGCGGUGAAAUGCGCAGAUAUCAGGAGGAACACCGGUGGCGAAGGCGGUUCUCUGGGAAUGACCUGACGCUGAGGAGCGAAAGUGUGGGGAGCGAACAGGAUUAGAAACCCCCGUAGUCC
rnacentral:rRNA from 1 species